AAGAGAUGUCAAGAUUAUGGGUGUUUCGAUAUCAAAUAAAAAGCCUGCCCGCAUUUAAAGUGCCGAUAAAAGAUAGAAUAAGCACUGGAAGUGGAUCGUAAAAGCAGGGAGGUCCAUUCAAAUGACGAGAAAGACUCACGACAACUGAUACCUGUGCAGGCGCCCAAUUGUCACCUGUAGUUAGAGGUGAAUGAUUUAACUGGGGUAAAGAAGUAAUUUACUGGUUAAAAAUACCUUCAUAACUUCUUAGUACCUUUUGAUACAUGAAGGUUGACACGGCCGAAAGCAAACUCUUCCCUUAAUAGACUCCAUUACGUACUUUACUAAUAGUACUUCCACAAUAUCUAUGCAAUGCUAUUCCUCGAAAAGGGUAAGAGCUUCGUCACCUAUAAUUGGUAAAACAAAAUUCAGUUUGAGUUUAAAACUUCUAUAGCUAUUUC